UACGUAGGGGGCAAGCGUUGUCCGGAAUCAUUGGGCGUAAAGAGCGCGUAGGCGGCCCUGUAAGUCCGCUGUGAAAGUCAAGGGCUCAACCCUUGAAUGCCGGUGGAUACUGCAGGGCUAGAGUCCGGAAGAGGCGAGUGGAAUUCCUGGUGUAGCGGUGAAAUGCGCAGAUAUCAGGAGGAACACCGGUGGCGAAGGCGGGUCUCUGGGGCAAACAACUGACGCUGAGGAGCGAAAGCGUGGGGAGCGAACAGGA
rnacentral:rRNA from 1 species